GUCAGCCGCCGCGGUAACACCGGCGGCCCGAGUGGUGAUCGUGAUUAUUGGGUCUAAAGGGUCCGUAGCCGGUUUGGUCAGUCCUCCGGGAAAUCUGAUAGCUCAACUAUUAGGCUUUCGGGGGAUACUGCCAGACUUGGAACCGGGAGAGGUAAGAGGUACUACAGGGGUAGGAGUGAAAUCUUGUAAUCCCUGUGGGACCACCUGUGGCGAAGGCGUCUUACCAGAACGGGUUCGACGGUGAGGGACGAAAGCUGGGGGCACGAACCGGAUUAGAUACCCGGGUAGUCCCAGUCGUAAACGAUGCUCGCUAGGUGUCAGGCAUGGCGCGACCGUGUCUGGUGCCGCAGGGAAGCCGUGAAGCGAGCCACCUGGGAAGUACGGCCGCAAGGCUGAAACUUAAAGGAAUUGGCGGGGGAGCACAACAACGGGUGGAAGCCUGCGGUUUAAUUGGACUCAACGCCGGACAACUCACCGGGGGCGACAGCAAUAUGUAGGCCAAGCUGAAGACUUUGCCUGAAUCGCUGAGGGGUGGUGCAUGG
rnacentral:rRNA from 1 species